GCCCUUAUAGCUCAGUGGAAGAGCAUCAGAUUUUUAAUCUAAUGGUCCGCAGUUCGAUCCUGCGUGAGGGCA